rnacentral:rRNA from 1 species
UACGGAGGGGGCUAGCGUUGUUCGGAAUUACUGGGCGUAAAGCGCACGUAGGCGGCUUUGUAAGUUAGAGGUGAAAGCCUGGGGCUCAACUCCAGAAUUGCCUUUAAGACUGCAUCGCUUGAACGUCGGAGAGGUGAGUGGAAUUCCGAGUGUAGAGGUGAAAUUCGUAGAUAUUCGGAAGAACACCAGUGGCGAAGGCGGCUCACUGGACGACUGUUGACGCUGAGGCACGAAAGCGUGGGGAGCAAACAGG